GUGAAUCAUCGAAUUUUUGAACGCACAUUGCACUCCCUGGUAUUCCGGGGAGUAUGCCUGUUUGAGGGUCGUUUGUAGCAUCAUCGACGCAUUGCUCUUUUUUUUGAGGUUGAUCGCGUCGGUGUUGAGCCGUCUUUCAACUGUUAAUUGCUGUCGAAGUGGCUUAAGAUUCAUCUAUCUGGUACGAUUAAAGCGUAUUAAAGAUAAGUUUUGAUUAAGAAUGUGCGAUGACGUACC
rnacentral:misc_RNA from 1 species